ACGUAGGUUGCAAGCGUUAUCCGGAAUUAUUGGGCAUAAAGAGCUCGUAGGCGGUUUGUCGCGUCUGUCGUGAAGGUCCGGGGCUCAACGCCGGAUCUGCGGUGGGUACGGGCAGACUAGAGUACUGUAAAGGAGGCUGGAAUUCCUGGUGGAGCGGUGGAAUGCGAAGAUAGCAGGAGGAACACCGAUGGCGAAGGCAGGUCACUGGGCAUUAACGGAGGCUGAGGUGGGAAAGCAUGGGGAUCAAACAG
rnacentral:rRNA from 1 species